AACCAGAAAGCCACGGCUAACUACGUGCCAGCAGCCGCGGUAAUACGUAGGUGGCAAGCGUUGUCCGGAUUUAUUGGGCGUAAAGCGAGCGCAGGCGGUUUUUUAAGUCUGAUGUGAAAGCCUUCGGCUCAACCGAAGAAGUGCAUCGGAAACUGGGAAACUUGAGUGCAGAAGAGGACAGUGGAACUCCAUGUGUAGCGGUGAAAUGCGUAGAUAUAUGGAAGAACACCAGUGGCGAAGGCGGCUGUCUGGUCUGUAACUGACGCUGAGGCUCGAAAGUAUGGGUAGCAAACAGGAUUAGAUACCCUGGUAGUCCAUACCGUAAACGAUGAAUGCUAAGUGUUGGAGGGUUUCCGCCCUUCAGUGCUGCAGCUAACGCAUUAAGCAUUCCGCCUGGGGAGUACGGCCGCAAGGCUGAAACUCAAAGGAAUUGACGGGGGCCCGCACAAGCGGUGGAGCAUGUGGUUUAAUUCGAAGCUACGCGAAGAACCUUACCAGGUCUUGACAUACUAUGCAAAUCUAAGAGAUUAGACGUUCCCUUCGGGGACAUGGAUACAGGUGGUGCAUGGUUGUCGUCAGCUCGUGUCGUGAGAUGUUGGGUUAAGUCCCGCAACGAGCGCAACCCUUAUUAUCAGUUGCCAGCAUUAAGUUGGGCACUCUGGUGAGACUGCCGGUGACAAACCGGAGGAAGGUGGGGAUGACGUCAAAUCAUCAUGCCCCUUAUGACCUGGGCUACACACGUGCUACAAUGGAUGGUACAACGAGUUGCGAACUCGCGAGAGUAAGCUAAUCUCUUAAAGCCAUUCUCAGUUCGGAUUGUAGGCUGCAACUCGCCUACAUGAAGUCGGAAUCGCUAGUAAUCGCGGAUCAGCAUGCCGCGGUGAAUACGUUCCCGG
rnacentral:rRNA from 1 species